rnacentral:rRNA from 1 species
UACGUAGGGCGCAAGCGUUUAUCCGGAAUUAUUGGGCGUAAAGAGCUCGUAGGCGGUUUGUCGCGUCUGCCGUGAAAGUCCGGGGCUCAACUCCGGAUCUGCGGUGGGUACGGGCAGACUAGAGUGAUGUAGGGGAGACUGGAAUUCCUGGUGUAGCGGUGAAAUGCGCAGAUAUCAGGAGGAACACCGAUGGCGAAGGCAGGUCUCUGG